ACUCUGGAGAAGCCCGUCUGCACGGGUGCCGAAGGUGUAACGCAGCACUCCCCCCUGCUGCGGAUCUCUCAGGCCAAAGGACAGAGUGA
rnacentral:ncRNA from 1 species